CCCUGGUUAACUCAGUUGGUAGAGCGCUCCGCUGGAAAUGGAGAAAUCCCGGGUUCUAUACCCGGACCGGGCG
rnacentral:tRNA from 2 species